rnacentral:tmRNA from 1 species
GGGGGUGUACCGGUUUCGACUGGCAUGAUUCGGGGCGUAGGCUGCAGGUGGAGCGCCGACCUCCUAACAUUCGGCACAACUAUAACUGCCGACAACGACAGUUUAGCUCUGGCUGCGUAAACAGCCAUAGCCGGAAAACAGUUCCGCCGCCCUGAGGGGCUGUUAUUCCGUCGCAAACAGGGCUGGUUUCUUCCCGGGCCCGGACGGGAAGGAACGAGACAAUUCUGGGAUACGGAAAGGCCGCCUGCCGUGAAGCCAAGCCUUUCCCGACAAUACGAAUCCACGGCUAAACCUGUAGAGGUUUACGGUUCGCAUGCCAGGACGCGGGUUCGACUCCCGCCACCUCCAACA